CAGGCCAACCCUAGGAUAAAGCAGAAGGGAGCAAGCUUUGGGCAUUACUGUGGAUAGAGAAGCCUGAGUGCUGCUUCUAGGCAGACAGAUGGAGAACUAGUAGAUCAUCUUGAUCCAGGCAAGCCCUUUCCUAUGUGAUGGUCGGCAGAACCCAUGGCACCAACCACCCUUCAAGGCAUGGUUGGGUGACAGACAGAGGGUGCAGCAGGGGAAGCAGGAAGACCAGUUCAUGUAGGUCAUAUCAUCACCUGGAGAGCUUCUGACCUCCUCCCGCGACACACUGGCAAGAGUUCUACUUCAGAGUUCUCCAGGAAAUGGUGUCAGAAGAACAAGUAUUGGGUGUCAAAACCUGGCUUGAUCUCUCCCCCAGCAGGAUUAUCUCUCUUCCUUGGAAAUAAGACCAGCCAGACUUUAUUCAGCUCUCCACUUUCCCCAAGGUUCCCAUUUCCUGAGCUGCUUUGAAAACCUCCAAUGGCUCUCAAUCAGCCCACCACCCCAGCACGGCCACCCAUUAUUUCCUGUAACACACCCUCCAACCAAACGCUGAACCACCACUUAAUAGACUCCAUUACACAUUCUCUUAGCACCUUACCAGGUGCUAUGCCACGUAACAAGAAGCCUGGGAAUAUGAAAGGAACACAAUGUGAAGGAGGCAGGAAAGGAAGGAGGAGCAAAAAUUCCAUCGUCAUGGAACUCAGCACCACAAAAAUUAUAAAGUCAUUUUCAUAAAGUCUGUCAACACUGUAUCCCUGAGCCUAGCCUACUGUCUAGCACAUAUAGGUGCCCACCCCAAGUUAAUAAAUAAAAGAACAAAUGAAUGGACCAA